UACGUAGGUGUCGAGCGUUGUCCGGAUUUAUUGGGCGUAAAGCGCCCGCAGGCGGCUUGGCAAGUUCGAGGUGAAAUCUCCCGGCUCAACUGGGAGGGUGCGCCGAAUACUGAAUGACUAGAGUGCGGGAGAGGAAAGUGGAAUUCCUGGUGUAGCGGUGAAAUGCGCAGAUAUCAGGAGGAACACCGAUGGCGAAGGCGGUUCUCUGGGCAUUACCUGACGCUGAGGAGCGAAAGCAUGGGGAGCGAACAGG
rnacentral:rRNA from 1 species